rnacentral:rRNA from 1 species
UACGUAGGGGGCAAGCGUUGUCCGGAUUUAUUGGGCGUAAAGAGCGUGUAGGCGGCCUUGCAAGUCCGUUGUGAAAACUCGAGGCUCAACCUCGAGACGCCGGUGGAAACUGCAAAGCUAGAGUCCGGAAGAGGAGAGUGGAAUUCCUGGUGUAGCGGUGAAAUGCGCAGAUAUCAGGAGGAACACCGAUGGCGAAGGCAGGUCUCUGGGCCGAUACUGACGCUGAGGAGCGAAAGCGUGGGGAGCGAACAGG